GCCCCGCUGGCUUAAUGGUAAAGCAUUAGGCUUUUAGUGUUGAUUGUAUACAAGUAACUUAAAGGUUGCGGGUUUGACCCCCGCGUGGGGUU